AGUCAAGUCAUCAUGCCCCUUACGUCCAGGGCUGCACACGCGCUACAAUGGCCGGUACAAAGGGCUGCAAACUCGUGAGGGUGAGCCAAUCCCAAAAAGCCGGUCUCAGUUCGGAUCGCAGUCUGCAACUCGACUGCGUGAAGUCGGAGUCGCUAGUAAUCGCAGAUCAGCACGCUGCGGUGAAUACGUUCCCGGGCCUU
rnacentral:rRNA from 1 species